CGAGGGUGCAAGCGUUAUCCGGAUUCACUGGGUUUAAAGGGUGCGUAGGCGGGCAAGUAAGUCAGUGGUGAAAUCUCCGGGCUUAACUCGGAAACUGCCGUUGAUACUAUUUGUCUUGAAUAUCAUGGAGGUAAGCGGAAUAUGUCAUGUAGCGGUGAAAUGCUUAGAUAUGACAUAGAACACCGAUAGCGAAGGCAGCUUACUACAUGUUCAUUGACGCUGAGGUACGAAAGCGUGGGGAGCAAACAGGAUUAGAUACCCUGGUAGUCCACGCCCUAAACGAUGGAUACUCGACAUCAGCGAUACACUGUUGGUGUCUGAGCGAAAGCAUUAAGUAUCCCACCUGGGAAGUACGACCGCAAGGUUG
rnacentral:rRNA from 1 species